CCUACGGGAGGCAGCAGUGGGGAAUCUUGCACAAUGGAGGAAACUCUGAUGCAGCGAUGCCGCGUGAGUGAAGAAGGCCUUUGGGUUGUAAAGCUCUUUUGUAGGGGAAGAUAAUGACUGUACCCUAAGAAUAAGGUCCGGCUAACUUCGUGCCAGCAGCCGCGGUAAUACGAAGGGACCUAGCGUAGUUCGGAAUUACUGGGCGUAAAGCGCGCGUAGGCCGUUGAGUUAGUUAAUUGUGAAAUCCCAAAGCUUAACUUUGGAACUGCAAUUAAAACUGCUCGACUAGAGUUUGAUAGAGGAAAGCGGAAUACAUAGUGUAGAGGUGAAAUUCGUAGAUAUUAUGUAGAACACCAGUUGCGAAGGCGGCUUUCUGGAUCAACACUGACGCUGAGGCGCGAAAGUAUGGGUAGCAAAGAGGAUUAGAUACCCUCGUAGUCCAUACCAUAAACGAUGAUUGCUGGAUGUUGGAAAUUUAUUUUCAGUAUCGCANCUACNCAUANANAUCNCUGGNGACGACGCAGUAACGUAAGAAUAGAGNGNGAGAGNGCGAGACGACGACGAGGAGAG
rnacentral:rRNA from 1 species